GUUGUGGAUAAUGGAUAGCGCGUUGGAUUUCUAAUCCAAAGGUCGUGGGUUCAAAUCCCACCUGAAGUG